UGCGGAGAUAGCCAAGCGGUCAACGGCGAAGGCCUCAAGAGCCUUUCUCACAGGAGUUCAAGGGUUCAAAUCCCUUUCUCCGCAU
rnacentral:tRNA from 1 species